AUUGGGACGGUCAGCUGGAGGAUACAUGAUGGUGCAGUGAAAAGAUUGGGGGAGGUCCAAUAUAUAUCCGAUUUCAGACGGAAUCUUAUCUCACUGAGUAGACUGGAUUCGAGAGACUACAGGAUGGUAGCUAGUGGAGGAAUCCUGAAGGUGCUACGUGGCGAUAGGGUUGUUCUGGAAGGAAAGAAGAAGAUGAGAGGACAUUACUACUUGGUGGGGAGCCCAGUGAGAGGUAAAGCUUCGAAAGCCAGG
rnacentral:lncRNA from 1 species